GUAUAUAAAAACAGUCUUCUAAAAAAAAAGAAGCGGUUGAGAAUAAAAAUGUCAUUUAUUGUUGUAUGUAUGUAUGUAUAAUAUAUACCGGGAUAAAGCCAAAUAAUCCCACUCGUGGUUCUUUUUCCAUCGCUCGGAUAAAUUUCUUUCUUUAUAACAUGAAGAUUUUGUCUGAUCGGAAUUAGUGUGAUGGCAGGUAAGGACAUACAAAAAUGUGUUACAUUUUUCAUGGCGCGUUCGAAAUAUUGAACAUUUUUAACUUUUUUUAUUUCCAUAAACAUCAUAAUAUUAUCCUUUAAAGAGUAUUUCGACGAGGUCCUCGUAGACGUGCAAAUAUUACAUUAUUACCAAUCUAUAUCUUUAUAAACAGGAACAACGCGCCAAUAAAAUUAUUCACGCUUAAAAAUGUUUAAAUUCUAUGCACAGCAAGAAAUGUUUUGGUUGUUUGUUUACGACUUUUCUGUGGGAAUUUUCGAUAAUCUAAUUUUCAAGUGUAGCGUAGUUCCUAAAAGAAAAUUGUACAUAAUUGGUAUAUUAAGAAACCAUUUUUUAUUUUUCUUGGCAAUCGAAUAAAAAGUGAAAAAUUAGGGUAUUAACGGUUUAUUAUUUCCGGUUUUUUUUUUUUUUUUUUAGUCUUAGCAAUUUUUCUGCUAGAAAUUUUGCUCCAAUCAAAAAAUUACAAGAUACCUUUUCAGUUGUAUUUUGAAUUUAGUUGGUACCAUUUACGCCGAUACUUAGUGAAAAUAUACAACGAAAAAUAAAUAUAAGAACCAAAAAUGUCAUUAGGUAAACUUCAAUGAACGCCGUCUGGCGUCACUGCACCUUGCAUGGAAUAUGUUUAAAGUUUGAUGAAAAAAGUAAAAAUCGCGGCAUUUUGAACUAUGUUAAACCAAACUUCGCUCAGAAUCGGUUUUCGUUAGGAAUGGUUUAUCUAUUGUUGCAUAUUGAUAAAAAUUAAAUUACCCCAUAUCUCAAUGUUCCUAUUAGCCACUAUAGCGUCGUAUUGCGAAUAAUGAACUGCACGUAGAUGUUAUCGCGAUAUAUUAACAACGGUGUUAGUUUAUAUUCAUGCGGAAAUUAAUAUUUUAACUAACAGGCUGCAACUGUAUGUUUGAAUACGCAGCCUAAGCGAGCUCGGUCUAAUUUUGGCACUGCAUGUAUAACAUGAAAUUUCAUUAAAAAUUCAACAUAUAAAUAUUGUAUAACAUUCGCCGGUUUUAUUGUGCGUUUCAAUCGAAAAGACAUAUUAUAAUGUAAAGGUCUGUGCACUGUCUGUCCUAU